AACUUUUCUGCGAUAUUUUUGAUAGAAACAGAAUUGAUUUGACCUUUUGAACAGCGUAAAGCUUGCUUGUCCGCAAUUUCAUGUAUACGGCCAUGGUGUGACUUGCCAGUUAAUGUACAGUCCAAGACGUCUAGAAGGGCGGGGGAUGGUCGACGGUGAAGUUCUCGAAAGGCUUUGGUCUUACCUAUGUUUAUUCAGGAAAAUGACGAAAGAAAUGACUGCAAGCCAUCGGGAGGACAUACUGUCGGACGCAUUGUAUUUUUACGCGAAGAAGAAAAAAUCGAGAAUCAUACUCUUACUUAAAGCCCAAAAGCAGCGUUGCGCAGAGCUUCGUGUGAUGGUAAAUGAAGAGAUUAACCAGCUACAAAUGAAUUCGUCAGUUCCAAUUACAAAUGCAAUGAUUGAUUAGUGGAAACAGCAGGAAAGUGAUCUUAUUAGAAAAUCCAAGCCUGAUGAAGUUGAUUUAGGCACACACGGUUAGAUUUUAAAAUAUUUUUCAGUAUUACGUCAAUACUACUCUCUAAGAAACAAACUUGCUGAUAGUGGUUGGAAUGAUCAGUCACCCAAUGAUGACACUCUCAUGAACAGUCUAAAUUCUCGUUUAACAAAAAUGGAGCGAGAGUAUCAGGUAAAUAAACGCUGGGGCCUGACGGAUCCGCAGUAUAUUUCGUCGUUUGUUAUGCAAGAAGCGGUGAAAGCCAAACAAACAAAGGAGAUGCUUUUGGUUUCUGGCAGAAGAAGAUGGUUUCUCUUGUUGCUUAAAAGAAAGUAUUCUGAGGGGCAAAAACAAGCAAAAAGACUUGCGAGAAGCGUAACAACAGAAAGCGCAAAUCUGCGAAAACUUUUAAAGCAAUACAAUUCAUCGGUGGAAAUAUUGCGUCAGCAUGGCCGGGCAGAAUUGGCUGUGUUAACUUGGGAAACUGCAAGUGAUGUCAGUAGUUCCAUUUACAGCAUCAAUUUUUCCAACGCUGACAACAUACCGCUUUCUAUUAAAAGGAAUGCCGUCGACGCAAUGAACAUGAUAGCAAGGGUUUCAGAGGAAGAACAGCACUUGUUGGUCGAAAUGGAAAACAGCAUCAAAUCAUUGC